rnacentral:rRNA from 1 species
UACGUAGGGUGCAAGCGUUGUCCGGAAUCACUGGGCGUAAAGGGCGCGUAGGCGGCUCAUGAAGGCUGUGGUGAAAGUCCGGGGCUCAACCUCGGAUCGGCCGUGGCGACUCGUGGGCUGGAGCACUGUAGAGGCGGGUGGAAUUCCGGGUGUAGCGGUGGAAUGCGUAGAGAUCCGGAAGAACACCAGUGGCGAAGGCGGCCCGCUGGGCAGUGGCUGACGCUGAGGAGCGAAAGCGUGGGGAGCGAACAGG